UGUAAAAUAAGCUAAAUAGUAAGCUGCUGGGUUCAUACCCCAGAAAUGAAUAGAUAAUUCUUUUACAA
rnacentral:tRNA from 1 species